UACGUAGGGGGCUAGCGUUGUCCGGAUUUAUUGGGCGUAAAGAGCGUGUAGGCGGCCAUGUAGGUCCGGUGUGAAAACUCGAGGCUUAACCUCGAGAUGUCAUCGGAAACCAUCUGGCUAGAGUCCGGAAGAGGAGAGUGGAAUUCCCGGUGUAGCGGUGAAAUGCGCAGAUAUCGGGAAGAACACCUAUGGCGAAGGCAGCUCUCUGGGACGGUACUGACGCUGAGACGCGAAAGCGUGGGGAGCGAACAGG
rnacentral:rRNA from 1 species